ensembl:lncRNA
GCUUAGACGCCGCAAAAAAACCCGAAAAAAUCGAGUCUGUUUUCCGUGAGAGUUCAAUGGGUUUAUUUAAAAGAAUCGGCUCAAAUGAACGAUUCGUUCGCGAGUCGUACGUCGCUACAGCAGCAGCAGCGGCGGCGGAACACAGCUGGGGGAAGGAGGAGGCCAGGCUGGAGCCCAACGACUCGCUGCGGGGGAAUGGACAGCGUUUGAUCCGGAGAGGGUUUACUUCGUGUUUCCUGUCAAAACCGCAGUUUCAACUUGGAUCAAUGCACGCAAGCAGUUUGAAGAAGAGAGAGAAACUUAACCUGAACCCGCUGGCGUCAACGCAGAAGAAACCAGGGCAAGUGGAAAUUGACGGUGUCAACAAAAAAACUACGUGCUACUCACCAGUUUAUGGGGUAUGACGGCGAGGUGCAACUGUGAUCUGUGGCAGCUCCUCUGAUUAAUAACGUUACUCUCAUAAGCUGGGAGUCCUGCUGACACCGUGAUGCAACACUGCCAAAUCCAAAAACACAAAAGGCAUGCAGGGCGGAGAGGUACAUGCAGGGCAUUGUAAGGAAAAGACUGUACCCAGAAACUUUAUAAACCUUAUAAGACACAUGUAAGUUCACUGGUCAUUAUGGAUCACAGAUAAAAUGUUGAUAUUUGUAGUGUAGACAAACGGAAAUCCUGGUCCUGGUGAGCCUGGUUCCUCCCAAGGUUUCUUCCUCAGUUCUGAGGGAGUUUUUUCCUUGCCACUGUUGCCCCUGGCUUGCCCACUGGGGGGUUUCUGUACAUUCUUACAGUCCUGUGGAAACUUUGUCUUUUCUGAAAUCCUGUAAAGCUGCUUUGUGACAACAUCCGUUGUAAAAAGCGCUAUACAAAUAAAUUUGAUUUGAUUUGAUUUGGUAAUGGUGAACAAUUUUGACUCUGUUAAUUUCUCUAGAAAAAUCUGUGGCGUUCCACUUUAAGACGUUGUGUUGAUCUGAGUUUCUGUAAAAUAGGGUAAAUAGGGUACAGUCUGUUUCUCUGCAUUCCCCCCCCCAAAUCACUGUGAAAUUGUCCAGCUGCAGCAUCUUACUACAGAUUGUUGCUGUCCAAAGUACAGAUGUAGAUAUAAAGUGUAUACUUGUUUAAAGAUCUUCAACCUAGAUGUUCUCUUUAAAUGGAAAUGCUAGGACUAAGAAAAGUUUCUGUUAUGAAAUUAAAGUAUGGUGCGGAGUGUAUCAUUGUUAUGAGAAGUCUGCAACUGCAAACACAGCUUUCUUUUGUACAGUGGUUGUACUUACUUCGAAUCCAGGAUUUCUAACACGUCAUUAGACCAACUGCAAUUACUGAUAUGUCACUUGCAAGUGUAAAUGGUGGUUACUGGUUGUUUCCUUGCUUAAAACCCCAGUAAAUGAGUGCUGGUCCCUGUGGCUCAGUAAUUCCUGACUAGGGCUUUAAACAAGCAUCAAGUUUAAGAACAAAGACUGAAAAACAUGCUUUUUGAAUAUGUCUUUUUUGAGCAGCAUUGGAUUUGAAGUUAUUUGGCCACAGUACCAGAAUCCAUGUUUGGCAAGAACCAGAGACUGCAUUUGUUCAGGGGAACUUCAUACAAACCGUAAUGGUUUAGGGCUGCUUUGCUGCCUCAGGGCUGGGCCAGCAAUCAUAGAAUCGACUAUGAACUCUGUUUUAUACCAGAGUGUGCCUGAGGAGAAUGUGAGGCCAUCUGCCAAAAAGUUGAGGCUGUAGAAGUGGACCUUUCAACAGGAUAAAGAUCCCAAACAUACUAGCAAAUCCACCAAGGAAUGGCUCCAAAUGAAGAAAUAGAGGGUUGUCGGAUGGCGUAGUCAAAGCCCAAAACUGAAUCCCUUUGAAAUGCUGUGGGGGGACUUGAAACGUGCUGUUCUGUAAAUCCCACAAACAUUACACAGUUGAAAUAAUUCUGCAUGAAGGAGUGGCAAAAGGUUUCCCAGCAGAUGCCAGAAACUGGUAGAUACUUAUAGGAAACACUUGGAUAAACCAGGGGUAACUUUUUCAACAGAAAAAACAUCUCAGUUAAUUCAUUUUUAAAUAAAUGUUUGCAAAUUCAAAUGAUCUUUGUUUUGCAUUCUGUUAUGUAAUAUUUAUCUAUACAUACUGCUUGGCGGAUGAUAAAUACUUAAGUGCUCACCUACGGUGGGGAGAACAAGUAUUUGAUAC